rnacentral:rRNA from 1 species
CGGAGGGUGCAAGCAUUGAUCGGAAUUACUGGGCGUAAAGGGCGCGUAGGCGGCUGGAAAAGUCGGAUGUGAAAUUCCGGGGCUCAACCCCGGAGCUGCAUUUGAAACUUUCUAGCUAGAGGUAGGUAAGGGAAAACGGAAUUCCACGUGUAGCGGUGAAAUGCGUAGAGAUGUGGAAGAACACCGGUGGUGAAGACGGUUUUCUGUGCCUGACCUGACGCUGAGGCGCGAAAGCUAGGGGAGCAAACAGGAUUAGAUACCCUGGUAGUCCUAGCUGUAAACGAUGCAUACUGGAUGUAGGAAGGCUCAACCCUUUCUGUAUCGGAGCUAACGCGUUAAGUAUGCCGCCUGGGGAGUACGCUCGCAAGGGUG